CAAAGUGAAGAGGGAACAUCAAUGACUCACUUCAAUGUCUAUCUCCAGUGCAGAGACAAAACUCCAGCCAAAACACCUACUAAUUCUGCCACGGUGCAAGUGCUACAGGCUAACACGUUGCAGGGUGUACAGGAUUGCCCGGAAGGUGCUUGACAUCGAUGGAUGGUAUUAAAUGGGGAUGGAUUACCUAGAAUGCAACACCUGUGAAAAGUUGGCAGGUUGGUGACUGGAUGUCCUUAACCCGGUGGACACAAGUUCUCAGCAAUCUUGGCUUAUCGGUUAGUAGUUCACAACUCUAACAAUCAAAGUACUUAACUUCCCCUGGUGAGAACAUUUCUGUGUAUCAGGCUGCCCUGUGACCGGAAGGUAGUCAGAAUAGAUGAGGGAAAAUACACUGACUCUUCCUUACCUCAAGAAGGCCGCUCCAUUGCCCCCUACUGUCUGUCAGGACCUGGAGGAAGAUUUACACCUCAUAUUUCCAUGCAGUACCUUGGACCAGGAGUGGUUGUCGGGUAUCAAACGUUCUCCUGGCCAAAAGUCUGAUGAGACUC